rnacentral:rRNA from 1 species
UACGGGGGGGGGCAAGCGUUGUUCGGAAUUACUGGGCGUAAAGGCUCGUAGGCGGCCAAUUAAGUCCGACGUGAAAUCCCCAGGCUUAACCUGGGAACUGCGUCGGAUACUGGAUGGCUUGAAUUCGGGAGAGGGAUGCAGAAUUCCAGGUGUAGCGGUGAAAUGCGUAGAUAUCUGGAGGAAUACCGGUGGCGAAGGCGGCAUCCUGGACCGACAUUGACGCUGAUGAGCGAAAGCUAGGGGAGCAAACGGG